GCCAGUGUUGCUCAGCAGUUAGAGCAUUGGCCUGCACACCCAAAGGUCAUGGAUUCGAUUCCCUUCAAGGGCA
rnacentral:tRNA from 1 species